UCUCUGUCCUCUAAUGAAAAAGAUUUAUACUUAUACUUGAACCCUACAAAAUUCUUGAUUAAAUGGGCAUUAUAUAUUCUUGAUUAUAUCUCUUGUUCCCCAAUUAUUUUCUUACUUUUCAGGCUCAUGGCUCACUUGAAAGUGUGAUGAUGAGAAUAUUGAUGAUUGUGAGAUCAAAUUACGAGUACGUGUUGAACAAAGUACAUUAUAGCACAAGAGCCCAGCAUGUGCGGUUGAAACUCGGUAUUGAUCAUCUUUUGUCUAUGAUGAGAUGACAGCAUAUCAUCCAAUACAAAAGUUAUCUCCCCAUAUAUGGUAUUUCUUUUUUUCUUUUUGCCUUUUUAUUUUGAGUCUAAUUAGUGGGUCGGAGGUUAAUAUUUUUACCUUUUAACUGAAGACACGUACCUUAACUUGAGAUAUGUCCAAACUGGCAUGAUAUAAAUGUUGCCUUUAUUUGACCAACAUAAAAUCUUGAGGCUUAUUAUGCAUAGAAUCUUUAAAAUAGUACAUAAACUUGUGUUGUCUUAUCUUGAGUAUUAUUAAGUCGGCUGCAUUAUGUGAAGGGAAAAGGCUAACUUCUUUUUCAAAGCAACUUAUGUAAUUUGUACUUCAUAUUUGGUAGGACGUAUUAUUCACCCAAGUCUCC